CCGCCUUCCUCUUCCUCUCCUCCCGACGUCUAGCAGCGCCGAAGCCUCUUCUCCUCACCAACGUUAAGCCCUAGUUCUUCCUCUGCCCUAGCGCUGACGUAGUUCCGCGGCUACAACCGAUCGCCGGCAGAGAGGAUAUGGAGUAGGUAAGCACUGUUUGAUCUCCGACAGCAGGUAGAUUCCAGCAGCAGCUUCUUUAAUCGGGUGUCUACAAAGGUGUCACUGGAAUUAGGUCUUCUGGCAGCAGUUUCUCCUAGCUCCAGCCAUUGUUUACCAAUGGCAAGUUUCUUCGGUUGUGAGCCUACAAAUGAGCAUCCAAAUUUGGGAAGUUGAUUUGAGACAAGCGCCUCGAUGUGGGAAGUGUAUU